GCGCUAUUAGUUCAAUGGCAGAACGCCAGUCUUCCAAACUGGAUACCCGGGUUCGACUCCCGGAUACCGCACCA
rnacentral:tRNA from 2 species